rnacentral:misc_RNA from 1 species
UCCUUAAAAGUGAAUGUUUCAUUUCGUUUUCACUGUUGUUUCGUAUUCAUUUAUUUUUAUAUUUUUAAACGAUAAUGGCUACAAUAGAGCAGAUCACAGAACAAAAAGGUCAAAGAGGUAGAAUGAUAAUUAGUCAAUGCAGAAUUUGUUAUCGCCAGGCAUGGAAUGAUUAUUACGGAUGCGAGGCGUGCAAACGUUGUCUUCAGUUUGUCUUCACAACAAUCAUUAACAGAAGUUGCUACGAAUGCUCUAUAAAUGGUGACUGCAAGCCGGUUUAUAAAUGUAAAUUUUGUACUUUACAGAUAUGUUAUAUGAAGGGUUUAAAACCGAUCAAAUUUGGAAUACAUUCUCGAGGAUAUUAUUUAAGGGAUAAAGAAAUUCUUCUACGUGAAGUUACAACUAGAGCACCGAAUAACUAUUACUUACUAAAAGAGUUCCUAAAAUUUUAAGUUUUUCUCAUCUCAACACUGAAAGAUGUUUCUUUAUGGAUAAUAGAAAAUAUGCCGAUAACAGCAACAAACAGAAUGGACGUAUAUUCGAUAAAAGCUAUAACCUUGCAGAUAGUAGAAGAAUCACUUGUUGCUCACGAUGUUUUAAAACUGGAAAAUUAUUAUCUCGAUCCGUACAAAUAUAAAAUCGGACAUUUUCAGUUCUUGACAAUGCUGAUUUUGAAACUGAUGCGAAUGAUGAGAGAGAUAUUUUCUAAUGGAGAAAUUGACUUAGAAACGAAGAUUCAUUUAAUAUAUUUGGAAGCGCCAGAAGAGGAUCGCGUUGUACAUCACUUAAGGCUUCAUCAGCAAUUGGAACACAUUGUUGUUGUGAUGAACGCCUGCUUCAGAUAUUUACAAGAUUCUUCUUAAAUGCCGAUUGUUAUAAACAAGUUUAACUUUUA